UUUAACUCACAGUGAUAGUCGUUCUUGAAGAUAUGAAUUUCUUCGGAUCGUUAUUAGAGAUAAUUUAUACGAAACCAUUGAGCAUUUCCGUUUAUUUAGAUAUACUUCCGGUUUAAUAACAUAUAAUUAUAUUAUACUGUUUUGAAGAAGCACUUAUUUAAAUGACAUAAUUUAAUAUUAUAUAAUUAAAUUAUUUUAAACACACAGCGCCGUGUUAAUAGUAAUAACGUGUCCCAGAUACGCCGACACAGGUACUACUGUUGUAUUAAUACUAUAUGUAAGUAUGAAUUUUAAUAGUUAUAUUAUGUCACAUCAUAACCAAUAUUGUUAUGUUAUUCCAUGUAACACCAUGUACAUAACACGACGCGGACUUAAGAGUAUUUUUAUUCACGACAUAUUAAAAUAAUACAUUAAUGCUAUAUACUAUCAUCUAUCUGCACAUUAAAUGGUAUAUUAUGAGGGUUAUAACUAACCUAGCACGGCGAUGUCGGCGUAACAUCAAUAAAUUUUAUGGAGGUGUCGAUACAGUUGUAAUUCAACAAUAGUUGCUUUUGAAAAUUGCUCACAUGGCAACAACGUUAUAACAAUAUUAUUAUACACAUUUAAACGUGCGUAUUAUUAGUUAUUACACGUUAAAUGCUCAAAGUACAUUUUUAUGGUCACGGUUGUCGUAGAUAGCCGCACCAUAUAGGUAGGUAUAUAAUAUAGAUAUUAUUACCACUGUACUGUACAUUAUUAAUUUUUAUUCUAGUACAGUGUAAUCGAAUCGCAUUAAUAUUCGAUGACCACCUAUCGAAAGAUUACAUCGAGGACAUACGUCGUGACUUUGCAUAUGAAUAAAUAAAAAUCCAUUAUGGUGCUGUAGUUUUAGAAAAGUAUUUAGAAGCCGCAGAAAAAAUAUAUGUAUUGUCGUACAAUGUCUGUCAACUGUACAUGCGAGUACAUGUACACAACUUACACAUGUUUUCGAUACCUACUUAUAAUUAAAGGUAAAUAUAAUAACGUUAUCUUCUAGAAACAUACAUAUUAUGCAUAUAAUGCCACACAGCAUUAAAAAUAGAAAUAUAUGUAUAAUAUCAACAGAAUGACCUAUAGGUACCAAUAAAUUAUGAAUCUGUUUGUGUAAAUAUUAUUGAUAAAUAUAUUAUUUUACGGUAAUCUACGUCUGCACAGCUAAAACUGUAUAGAUACAUACAUGUAAUGUUGUUAAUGACCGAAAAUCUAAUAUCAAUAAUAACAGCAAUAUACGAGGAUCAUUUAUUUCUAGUCAUAUUUUUCAUCGUAUUUACUUUUAAAAAUACACG